AUAAUACCGGAUACGGCUUGACGGUACUCCUCGAGGAAGCCCCGGCUAAUUACGUGCCAGCAGCCGCGGUAAUACGUAAGGGGCAAGCGUUGUCCGGAAUCACUGGGCGUAAAGCGCACGUAGGCGGCUUGGCAAGUCAGGGGUGCAAGCUCUAGGCUUAACCUAGAAAUUGCCUCUGAAACUACCUCGCUUGAGGGUCUGAGGGGAAACUGGAAUUCACGGUGUAGCGGUGAAAUGCGUAGAUAUCGU
rnacentral:rRNA from 1 species